CUCAUGGCCAUCUGGUUCGGACAGGAAAACUUGGUUUCUUAUAUCCUCUACACCUAAACAUGAUUGAAUAAGAUACUUUAGUUAACAAAUACACUGUGAUGAAGGGGCGGUGAGGUAGCCUAGUGGUUAAAACGUUGGCUCGUCACGCCGAAGACCCGGGUUCGAAUCCCCACAUGGGUACAAUGUGUGAAGCCUAUUUCUGCAAUACAAAUCAUCUUAGCAUACAUAUGCACAAACAGGAAAGUAUAUUUCCCCUAUCACUUCCGGCAAAUUUCAAACUUCAUA